rnacentral:rRNA from 1 species
AUUGAACGCUGGCGGCAGGCCUAACACAUGCAAGUCGAGCGGAUGAAGGGAGCUUGCUCCUGGCUGCCGCGGCGGACGGGUGGGUAAUGCCUAGGAAUCUGCCUUGCCUUGGGGGAUAACGUCCGGAAACGGGCGCUAAUCUCGCAUCCGUCCUGAUGUAGAAAGUGGGGGAUCUUCGGACCUAACGGUUUUUGAUGAGCCUAGGUCGGAUUAGCUAGUUGGUUGGGUAAAGGCCUACCAAGGCGACGAUCCGUAACUGGUCUGAGAGGAUGAUCAGUCACACUGGAACUGAGACACGGUCCAGACUCCUACGGGAGGCAGCAGUGGGGAAUAUUGGGCAAUGGGCGAAAGCCUGAUCCAGCAAUGCCGCGUGAGUGAAGAAGGUCUUCGGAUUGUAAAGCACUGUAAGUUGGGAGGAAGGAAAGUAAGUUAAUACCUGGCUGUUUUGACGGUACCAACAGAAUAAGCACCGGCUAACUUCGUG